UACGUAGGGUGCAAGCGUUGUCCGGAAUUAUUGGGCGUAAAGAGCUCGUAGGCGGUUUGUCGCGUCUGCUGUGAAAACUCGGGGCUUAACUCCGGGCCUGCAGUGGGUACGGGCAGACUAGAGUGCGGUAGGGGAGACUGGAAUUCCUGGUGUAGCGGUGGAAUGCGCAGAUAUCAGGAGGAACACCGGUGGCGAAGGCGGGUCUCUGGGCCGACAUUGACGCUGAGGAGCGAAAGCGUGGGGAGCGAACAGG
rnacentral:rRNA from 1 species